UACGGAGGGUGCGAGCGUUGUCCGGAAUCACUGGGCGUAAAGGGCGCGUAGGCGGCUCGUUAAGGGUGCGGUGAAAGCCCGGGGCUUAACCCCGGGUCGGCCGUGCCGACUGAUGAGCUCGAGCACUGUAGAGGCAGGUGGAAUUCCCGGUGUAGCGGUGAAAUGCGCAGAUAUCGGGAAGAACACCCGUGGCGAAGGCGGCUUUCUGGGACGGUACUGACGCUGAGACGCGAAAGCGUGGGGAGCGAACAGG
rnacentral:rRNA from 1 species